GAUGAACGCUGACAGAAUGCUUAACACAUGCAAGUCUACUUGAAUUUGGGUUUUUUAACUUAGAUUUGGGUGGCGGACGGGUGAGUAACGCGUAAAGAGCUUGCCUCACAGCUAGGGACAACAUUUGGAAACGAAUGCUAAUACCUGAUAUUAUGAUUAUAAGGCAUCUUAGAAUUAUGAAAGCUAUAUGCGCUGUGAGAGAGCUUUGCGUCCCAUUAGCUAGUUGGAGAGGUAACGGCUCACCAAGGCGAUGAUGGGUAGCCGGCCUGAGAGGGUGAACGGCCACAAGGGGACUGAGACACGGCCCUUACUCCUACGGGAGGCAGCAGUGGGGAGUAUUGGACAAUGGACCAAGAGUCUGAUCCAGCAAUUCUGUGUGCACGAUGACGUUUUUCGGAAUGUAAAGUGCUUUCAGUUGGGAAGAAAAAAAUGACGGUACCAACAGAAGAAGUGACGGCUAAAUACGUG
rnacentral:rRNA from 1 species